UUGGAAGUUUAAGGCCAUAGCAGAAGUGUUCACAGUGCAGCCCUGUCAGGUACCAACGAAUCUGCAACUUCCACU
rnacentral:ribozyme from 1 species